UACGGAGGGGGCUAGCGUUGUUCGGAAUUACUGGGCGUAAAGGGCGCGUAGGCGGUGCGGUAAGUUAGGCGUGAAAGGCCCGGGCUCAACCCGGGAACUGCGCUUAAGACUGCCGCGCUGUGAGUCCGGGAGAGGAUGGCGGAAUUCCCAGUGUAGAGGUGAAAUUCGUAGAUAUUGGGAAGAACACCAGUGGCGAAGGCGGCCAUCUGGCCCGGUACUGACGCUGAGGCGCGAAAGCGUGGGGAGCAAA
rnacentral:rRNA from 1 species